UGAGUACGAGACGCUAAGGCGUCGAAGUAGUGGAUGUCAUACUUCCAAGAAAAGCUCGCAAUGUCAUAAAUAAAGAAUGCCUGUACCAUAACCGACACAGGUGGGUAGGUAGAGUAUACUAAGGGGCGCGAGAUAACUCUCUCUAAGGAACUCGGCAAAAUGACUCCGUAACUUCGGGAGAAGGAGUGCCUUAUUCGUAAGGCUGCAAUAACAAGAUCCAAGCAACUGUUUAUCAAAAACACAGGUCUCCGCUAAGUCGUAAGACGAUGUAUGGGGGCUGACGCCUGCCCAGUGCCAGAAGGUUAAAGAAGUCGGUUAGCAUUAGCGAAGCUGGUAACUGAAGCCCUGGUGAACGGCGGCCGUAACAAUAACGGUCCUAAGGUAGCGAAAUUCCUUGUCGGGUAAGUUCCGACCCGCACGAAAGGCGUAAUGAUUUGGAUACUGUCUCGGAGAGGGGCUCGGUGAAAUAGACUUGUCUGUGAAGAUGCGGACUACCUGCACCAGGACAGAAAGACCCUAUGAAGCUUUACUGUAACUUGAAAUUGAAAUUGGACUUUAUUCGCGCAGUAUAGGUGGGAGGUGUUGAUUAUAAUCUUGCGGGAUUAUUGGAGCCAUCAGUGAGAUACCACUCUUGUAAUGUUAGAUUUCUAACUUUGAAUCAUUAUCUGGUCAAAGAACAGUUUCAGGCGGGCAGUUUGACUGGGGCGGUCGCCUCCUAAAUGGUAACGGAGGCGUACAAAGGUUUCCUCUGAACGGGUAGAAAUCGUAUCUAGAGUGUAAAGGCAUAAGGAAGCUUGACUGUGAGACCUACAAGUCGAGCAGGGACGAAAGUCGGUCUUAGUGAUCUGACGGUACUGAGUGGAAAGGCCGUCACUCAACGGAUAAAAGUUACUCUAGGAUAACAGGCUGAUCUCCCCCAAGAGUUCACAUCGACGGGGAGGUUUGGCACCUCGAUGUCGGCUCAUCGCAUCCUGGGGCGGUAGUACGUCCCAAGGGUUGGGCUGUUCGCCCAUGAAAGCGGUACGCGAGCUGGGUUCAGAACGUCGUGAGACAGUUCGGUCCAUAUCCGGUGUAGGCGUUAGAAUAUUGAGAGGAGCCUUCUUUAGUACGAGAGGACCGAGAAGGACAUACCUCUGGUGUACCAGUUAUCGUGCCAACGGUAAACGCUGGGUAGCUAUGUAUGGAGUGGAUAACCGCUGAAAGCAUCUAAGUGGGAAGCCCACCUCAAGAUAAGUAUUC
rnacentral:rRNA from 1 species